GAUGAACGCUGGCGGCGUGCCUAAUACAUGCGAGUCGAGCGAUCAGACGAGGAGCUUGCUCCUCUGACGUUAGCGGCGGACGGGUGAGUAACACGUGGAUAACCUACCUAUAAGACUGGGAUAACUUCGGGAAACCGGAGCUAAUACCGGAUAAUAUAUUGAACCGCAUGGUUCAAUAGUGAAAGACGGUUUUGCUGUCACUUAUAGAUGGAUCCGCGCCGCAUUAGCUAGUUGGUAAGGUAACGGCUUACCAAGGCAACGAUGCGUAGCCGACCUGAGAGGGUGAUCGGCCACACUGGAACUGAGACACGGUCCAGACUCCUACGGGAGGCAGCAGUAGGGAAUCUUCCGCAAUGGGCGAAAGCCUGACGGAGCAACGCCGCGUGAGUGAUGAAGGUCUUCGGAUCGUAAAACUCUGUUAUUAGGGAAGAACAAAUGUGUAAGUAACUAUGCACGUCUUGACGGUACCUAAUCAGAAAGCCACGGCUAACUACGUG
rnacentral:rRNA from 1 species